rnacentral:rRNA from 1 species
UACGGAGGGUGCAAGCGUUGUCCGGAUUUAUUGGGUUUAAAGGGUGCGUAGGCGGUCUGGUAAGUCUGGGGUGAAAGCCCGUUGCUCAACAACGGAACUGCCCUGGAAACUGCCAGACUUGAGUACAGACGAGGGUGGCGGAAUGGAUGCUGUAGCGGUGAAAUGCAUAGAUAGCAUCCAGAACCCCCGAUUGCGAAGCAGCUGCCUAGACUGUAACUGACGCUGAGGCAGCGAAAAGCGUGGGGAGCGAACAGGG